rnacentral:rRNA from 1 species
GAGACAUAUGUUGAAUUGAAUCAUUCGAGCAGCGGACGGGUGAGUAAAGCACAAGGACUUGUCCGAAAGAGAGGGACACCUGCGGGAAACCGGAGCUAAUACCUCAUAAGCCGGAAGGUGAAAAGCAGAGAUGCGCUUUUGGAGAGACUUGUGUCCUAUCAGGCAGUUGGUGAGGUGAAAGCUCACCAAACCGAAGACGGGUAGCCGGACUGAGAGGUCGACCGGCCACAUUGGAACUGAGAGACGGUCCAGACUCCUACGGGAGGCAGCAGUGGGGAAUAUUGGGCAAUGGGCGGAAGCCUGACCCAGCGACGCCGCGUGAGGGAAGACAGCCUUCGGGUUGUAAACCUCUGUUGCAGGGGAAGAAGGAAGUGACGGUACCCUGCGAGGAAGCUCCGGCUAACUACGUGCCAGCAGCCGCGGUAAUACGUAGGGAGCGAGCGUUGUCCGGAAUUACUGGGCGUAAAGGGCGCGUAGGCGGCGCUUCAAGUCGUCUGUCAAAUGGAAGGGCUUAACCCUUUUUCGCAGGCGAAACUGGAGAGCUUGAGAAGCAGAGAGGCAAACAGAAUUCCUGGUGUAGCGGUGAAAUGCGUAGAUAUCAGGAAGAAUACCAGUGGCGAAGGCGGUUUGCUGGCUGCAUACUGACGCUGAAGCGCGAAAGCCAGGGGAGCGAA